ACUCUGUGAGGUGACAUUCUCAUCCUGGCUUCUGUCUCUCAAUGCUUUUGUGAUGCUCUGUGGUCCCUGGGAAAACCAGAUGUCCACUCCUUCGCCCUCAUGUUCUACGACUUUCCAAAGCACGGCCACUAGCCAGAGACUGACUGUUCAGAUCCAUGAGUCUACGGGACAAUGCACAUUCAGACAGCAGUACUGCCUGAUCCCUGGGCCACCACUCUGUCCUCUGGUCAAGAUGCUUCCUACCAGAGCUUCUCUGGGAAGGAAGCAGGAACUCCACUCCAGCAAUGUGCAACUCCAGAACUGAGCCUACUUCCUCUGACACCCAUCCGCUUCUUCGUGGAGUGAUGAAGGGUGGGAGUCCUCAUUAUGUGGGAUGCCCUGAUAGGGUGUGAGCCUGUUGUUGCUUCCGGGGCAGUUCCUUACCACUACCCCUGUGCAGACAGAGCUGAAGCACAGACACAAUGCGCCAGGCUCUACAGUAUAACUCCUCCAGUGGGGAAACUAAGACUUCCGGAGUUCAGGUCACACAGAGUCCCAACUAAGUUCCUACAGCGUUCCUGUUAUUUGUUCUCUGCUGCCAGAGGUGGAACCCAGGGCCCUGUACACGCUAAGCAAGCAUUCUACCAUUGAGCCCCAACCUCAGAGCCGCUCAACUGGUUCUUACUGUGCAGUCAACCAACGUUCGUCAUUAUAAAGCUCAGUUAGGGACCAGUGAGAUGAUUCAGUGCCUACAGGUGCUUGCCCUCAACCCUGAUGAUCUAAGUUCAAGCCACAGCACCCAGAAAGUGGAAAGAGUCAACUCCCACAAGCUCUCCUAGAACCUCUAAUAUGGAUGUCAUAGAAUCUGGAUGGAUGCACACAUACACACAUACACAUUUAAUAUUUUAAAAUAAAAUAAAGCCCAGUUGCUAAGGGGCUUAUCUGUCA